GACGAAGGGGGCUAGCGUUGCUCGGAAUCACUGGGCGUAAAGCGCACGUAGGCGGCUUUCUAAGUCAGGGGUGAAAUCCUGGAGCUCAACUCCAGAACUGCCUUUGAUACUGGGAAGCUUGAGUCCGGGAGAGGUGAGUGGAACUGCGAGUGUAGAGGUGAAAUUCGUAGAUAUUCGCAAGAACACCAGUGGCGAAGGCGGCUCACUGGCCCGGUACUGACGCUGAGGUGCGAAAGCGUGGGGAGCAAACAGG
rnacentral:rRNA from 1 species